AUGGCACCUGCAGGAAUUCUCCGCUCUCUUUCCCCACAUGCCAUCCUCAUUCUCUUCUCCAACCUUCUCAUCUUCAUGUCGUCCAACACCGUCGCGAAAUCCAUCAGCAACGGGUCCGAGGUCGACCUGCUGACCCUCCUCUCCUUCAAGGAGAGCAUCACCAGUGAUCCGCGCCAGGUACUGUCGGCUUGGGACCACUCGAUCAGCUUCUGCAGCUGGAGAGGUGUUACCUGCGGUAUUAAUCUUCCAACUCGUGUGAUCUCCCUGAACUUAAACUCUGCACAGCUCAGUGGUCAGUUAUCUCCUUGGAUAGCUAACCUUACUUCACUAGAACGGCUAGACCUUUCAGAAAAUCGCUUCUCUGGAAGCAUUCCAGAGGAGUUAGGCACACUUCGACAGCUACAGUUUAUGAUCCUUUCAGUGAACAGCCUUGAAGGUAUCAUUCCUAGAUCCCUAGGCACCAGUAGAUCUCUCAUACAUGUCAAUCUCACAGAAAACCAUCUUGUCGGUACUAUCCCAGAUUUCCAUAGGUUGCCAGCCCUCCAAACUUUGAUACUGUCAGAAAACUUCCUUGUAGGUACCAUUCCUAGAUCUUUAGGAACUACUAGAUCUCUUAAAAUUGUCGAUCUCUCAUUUAACAUCCUCACUGGCAAUAUUCCAGAGUUCCAUAAGAUGUCAACCCUUGAAUUUCUUGAUCUUUCAAAAAACAACCUUUCUGGAAGCAUACCUUCAUCACUGGGAAAUGUUUCUUCUCUCAUAGAGAUAAGGCUUGACACAAACAUCCUCACUGGAUGGAUUCCAGAAACUUUUGGCCUUAUCCAGAACCUUAGUAUGCUGAGUUUAGAUUACAACUACCUGUCGGGGCAUCUCUCGGCCAAACUCUGUAACAUCUCAUCACUCAUUUACCUUUCUUUGGCUGAGAAUAACCUAAUUGGACGAGUACCAUCUUGCAUUGGAGACACAUUACAGAACCUUGAAAUGUUGUCCAUGUCAGGUAACAGAUUCGAGGGAUUAAUUCCAUCAUCACUAGCAAAUGCAUCGAACCUCCAAGUGAUUGAUCUUGGAUACAACUUACAAAAUGGGCGGAUCCCAUCUCUAGGAUCUUUAGCUGACUUACGUGUUCUAAAAUUAGGAAGUAACUUCCUACAAGCUGAAGGUUGGGAAUUCCUUGCCUCUCUGACAAACUGUGCACAACUAGAAAUGUUGGAAAUGAGUGGGAAUGUCCUGAAUGGAAGUAUCCCUAGGUCUGUUGGGAAUCUUUCUAAAAGUUUAACACGUUUAAACCUUGGAAGGAAUCAAAUUGUAGGCACAAUACCAGUUGAGAUUUUUAACCUUCGAAAUCUCCAAAUGCUUGCCAUGGGACAAAACUUGCUUUCCGGGAUUAUUCCCUCUGUUAUUGGGGAUCUAGGAGAGCUAAUCAUCCUAACCCUAUCAGGAAACAGAAUUUCUGGCCAGAUCCCAUCUACAAUAGGUAAUCUUUCUCGGCUGAACAAGCUUUCUCUAGAUAGCAAUGACUUGAGUGGGAACAUCCCAGCAACUUUAGGAUAUUGCGAGCAACUGGAUAUGCUAAAACUAUCUUUUAACAGACUUGAGGGACCAAUACCAAGUGAACUCAUCAAUAGCACUACCCUCAUAGGUUUGGAUUUGUCAAACAACCACCUUACAGGAUCAAUACCGCUACAAAUUGGUGCUUUGCUUCAACUUCUCCAACUCGAUAUUUCCUUCAACAGAUUGUCUGGUCAAGUUCCACUUUCACUUGGCCAAUGUGUCCAACUAUCUUCUCUCAGAUUCAGAAGUAACAUGCUUUAUGGAAUCAUACCUCUAUCUUUCAGCAAUCUGAAGUCCAUCGAACAGAUCGAUCUUUCCCUAAACUCCCUCGCGGGACAAAUUCCAGUGUUCUUUGCAAACAUGGGUUAUUUGCAGCAACUUGAUCUGUCUAUGAACUACUUUAAAGGGCCGAUUCCAACUGGUGGCAUCUUUCAGAACCAUAGUGCAGUAAACUUGGCUGGCAAUGAAGAGCUUUGUACAAUUGCAACCACCACCACCUUAUAUCAGUUCCCAGUUUGUACCACAAUAUCACCUGUUGGGAGCAAGAAGAAUGCACUCUUAUUGGUAAAAGUGAUUCCUCCAAUUGCUGUUGCCUUGAUCUACCUUACAUGCUUUUUGGUCAAGCAGCUCCAUGCUACAAGGAAACAAUGA
rnacentral:rRNA from 1 species